UUCCUAUGAAAAUAAAAAAGAGCUCCCUAAAAUUGUACCAUUAGUGUGUACCUGCCCUCAGGAGGGGCACAGUCACACCCACAAAUUGGCUUCAACAAGAUACAUCUGACAGACUGCUCAAAUCGUGAUUAAAAGUGCCCUGUGGUGUCUGAUGAGCAGCGAGUAAGCCAUUCGUCGUUCAGCAGACUUAGCCUUCCUUAGACUGCUCCAGAUUUUUCAUUUGCCUCUUUGUCAGGUUAAUAGUUGCAGAAUCAUAGAAUUAUAGAAUGGUUUUACAGGUCGUCUAGUCCACUCCCCAUGCAGUGAGCAGAGACACCUUAGCCAAGGAUCUCUAGGCUGCAGCCCCCUCUUUAUGUACUCUUACUGCCCUUUUUGUUUUCUGCUAGGGCAAAGAGAAGGUCAGUGUCUGGAAAAACAACGGGGCUCAGGAGACAUGAUAGUCUUUGUCUCGCUCAAAACCGAUCUAAUUAUCCCUCCCCUCGUCUGCGAUUAUUAUCUACAGUCUCAAACAGAUGACCUCUACAAACUGUGCCUCAUCCCUGAUUCCCCAUAAAUGGCCACUGACACACCUCUAUCUCAUGCACCAAGUCACAAAUGAGCAUCUAAAAUUGCCCAGGAAUGAUGUGCUGGAAGACGAACUGUGCCACCUGAAAGUAAGCCACCACUCUUCCUGUGUUUGCGAACAUCAGAAGAAGACUCCCAAAGAUAUUGAAUUCCCAGGGUUGUUUUAAAUUAAGGAGCUCGGGAGAAGAGUUAAAAAGAAGAGAAUAUACAUGAAGAUGAGUCUUCGGUGCUACAGAAAG